UUGGGUGUAUCAUGGACUCUGACCCUCCACCCUGGAACAGGGACAAGGACUGUCAGAGGUCUCGUUGGCUCUGGUACCUGCUGGCUUUUUCUAUGCGCUUGCUCAGGAAGGCCUCAUGUGCCCCCAUCCUGCCUCCCCUGGCACUUCUGAAGCAGCAAGAUAGCCUCCAGUCAGGGCUAAUUCAUCCCUGCAGGGGGAAUGGCUCACUUUUUCCUAGGUGGAGGGGAAGUUUUUCCGGCAUUACAUUUUGGAGGUCCCCCGAGAUAAAAGAAACUGAGAACUGGAUUAGAGAUUAGAGACUUCUCGGUCUCCACCUAGGCCUGGGAUCAGGACCUGGGUCUGUUCCUUGGGAAAAGACCAGCACUCUGGCUAUCCCCAGAGCCUCUGGGGAAAAGAAAGUGGUUCUUCAGCCUCAGUCCCGCCUACAGUGGACAACGAAAUCGAUUCUGCAUUUGGGAGAAUUUGUGUUUUUGUUCUAGAUUUUGGUCAAAUUACAGAUAUCGGUUUGCUUCUGGAACCUGGAUCAGCUUUGAUCAGCUUUGAUUGUCACCACAGCACACAGCCCCUCUGCAUGGAAUGAGAGCCUCCUACCACUUCACAACCGGGAGCAGCAGUUUGUACAUGAGACCAUGGACAGGACCCUGCAUUGAGUGUACUUUGGAAUAAUAUAAGGGACUUUGGGAAUGGUUGAUGACUGACUGUUAAACCUUGCUUGGAUCAUCUAUUACUGUGUGUUUAAGAUUUGGGAUGGGAUUUGUUAAAAACUCUGUAACUGUUGCUGUUAUGUUUGAGGAAUUUUUAGGAAAUGCUACUGUACUAGUCUGUUAUGUAUAGGGAUUUUGAUUCACUCUUGGGAUUUAUAUGGGGAAUGGUCAUUUGAUAAUUCCUUUCCAUGAGAAAAAAAGGGGAGGAAAAGAUAGAACAUUGGGGAAACUGGUAUAUUUUUUUCAAAAUUCCAGAAAGAAUGGGAACCCCUAGCUCCUAUUCACUUUGCCUUAGGCAUUUCUGCCCCACCCCCCUAUCUUACUAGUUCAGAUUGAAUUUGGAUGCUUUAGCUUUAGAAUCCCGUAUUUUGUUAAAAUUGCCCUGGCAGACUCAGUUUUGGGGAUUAUUUUUUUAGAAAAGUUUUAGAAAUCAGACACCUGUCCUGGGACUGACAGUCUCUCUGAUCUGUUUUUCUUCAGUCCUGUAACCCCAGUUCAUUAAGUAUUUCAGCAUUUCAAAGGACCUUGAAGUUUGGCAUGAGGCACCUAAAAAGUUUGGAGUUUGCCUGCCUUGAUGGUCUAACUGUGCAUAAUCUGCCCAGAAAUCUGUAUUCUAGUAGCAGCAGCUCUGGGCAGGGACAGGUGAAGCUAUUCCACGCCUUACCCUUCUCCGCUGGAGUGGGUUGCCCCUUUGAAUGAGCCCUUGAGCCCUGCUGAGUUAAGUGCACAAAUGACCAUAGAUCUAACUGUCCAUCUCAGACUGGAUUCUCUAGCUGAGGUGAUGCUCCAGAACUGUAGAGGGCCUGACAUGCUUGCAACAAGGGAGCCUUUGUACAGCUGUUAACUCUGGGGUUAUCAGGGAGAGACUUGCUCUUGCCAUAUGAGUCCUUACAUUUUUCUAGUUUUAUUUUUGCUCGUUUGCUUUACAUAGGGUGGGUCAAAGACCUCCUGGGUAUCUAGAGGAAGGUGCUAAGAUUCAAAGGUUUGAAUAUUUAGGAGAGAGAGUGUGGAAUGUUAUGCCACAGUUCUCUUUAACUGUCCUGACUCAGUUUCCUUGUACAAGUUUCCCUUGUCUCAGUCUCCCUAAUUACUCCCCUAAGCUGUAAAUCCCACUCUGGUCCAUUAAGGCUGAGGACCAAUUACUCUAAGGUUAUAAAUUGUUAGUCCAGGCAAGAUAAACAAGAGAGUAGACCUCCUGAUUCUUUUCUGUCCUCAAGAAUUUAUAAUAUCCCUCUAAAAUAUUCCAAGAUAUCUCUGUGUAUUCAGACAUCCUGUCUCUGGUUUUUUUUUUUUUUUAAGAAUUUAUGGCCUCCCCCAUUCUGACAGCUUUUUACCCUUUCCUUUGUUUAGAGAAAAGGUAUUUAAGAAGUUGGGGUUCCUCCAUUCAUGGCUGGAGGAUGGCCGUUGGCGGCUGCACAGUCUCCUCCAGCCCUGGGACCAACAUGAAUUCCUUGGUCCCAGUAUAUCUUUAUCUCUGUCUGACUGGAUAAUUUGAGACAAGAGUCCUGUCCAGUCAAUCUUACUCUCCCAUUAAUAAAAUAUUAAAAAGUCUCUAA